rnacentral:rRNA from 1 species
AACGAACGCUGGCGGCAUGCCUAACACAUGCAAGUCGAACGAGACCUUCGGGUCUAGUGGCGCACGGGUGCGUAACGCGUGGGAAUCUGCCCUUUGCUUCGGAAUAACAGUUAGAAAUGACUGCUAAUACCGGAUGAUGUCUUCGGACCAAAGAUUUAUCGGCAAAGGAUGAGCCCGCGUAGGAUUAGGUAGUUGGUGGGGUAAAGGCCUACCAAGCCGACGAUCCUUAGCUGGUCUGAGAGGAUGAUCAGCCACACUGGGACUGAGACACGGCCCAGACUCCUACGGGAGGGCAGCAGUGGGGAAGUCUUGCGCAAUGGGCGAAAGCCUGACGCAGCCAUGCCGCGUGAAUGAUGAAGGUCUUAGGAUUGUAAAAUUACUUUCUACCGGGAC